rnacentral:rRNA from 1 species
AUUGAACGCUGGCGGCAUGCCUUACACAUGCAAGUCGAACGGCAGCACGGGAGCAAUCCUGGUGGCGAGUGGCGAACGGGUGAGUAAUAUAUCGGAACGUGCCCAGUCGUGGGGAUAACGUAGCGAAAGCUACGCUAAUACCGCAUACGAUCUAUGGAUGAAAGCGGGGGAUCGCAAGACCUCGCGCGAUUGGAGCGGCCGAUAUCAGAUUAGGUAGUUGGUGAGGUAAAGGCUCACCCAAGCCGACGAUCUGUAGCUGGUCUGAGAGGACGACCAGCCACACUGGGACUGAGACACGGCCCAGACUCCUACGGGAGGCAGCAGUGGGAAUUUUGGACAAUGGGCGCAAGCCUGAUCCAGCAAUGCGCGUGCAGGAUGGAGGCCUUCGGGUU